UGCAGCGACGCCGCGUGAGGGAUGAAGGCCUUCGGGUUGUAAACCUCUUUCAGCAGGGAAGAAGCGCAAGUGACGGUACCUGCAGAAGAAGCGCCGGCUAACUACGUGCCAGCAGCCGCGGUAAUACGUAGGGCGCAAGCGUUGUCCGGAAUUAUUGGGCGUAAAGAGCUCGUAGGCGGUUUGUCGCGUCUGGUGUGAAAACUCGAGGCUCAACCUCGAGCUUGCAUCGGGUACGGGCAGACUAGAGUGCGGUAGGGGAGACUGGAAUUCCUGGUGUAGCGGUGGAAUGCGCAGAUAUCAGGAGGAACACCGAUGGCGAAGGCAGGUCUCUGGGCCGCAACUGACGCUGAGGAGCGAAAGCAUGGGGAGCGAACAGGAUUAGAUACCCUGGUAGUCCAUGCCGUAAACGUUGGGCACUAGGUGUGGGGCUCAUUCCACGAGUUCCGUGCCGCA
rnacentral:rRNA from 1 species